GCGGCCCGGCUGAGCUCGGCGUGGGCAGCAGCGGCUGCGGUGCGAAGGCUCCGGCCUGCGGGAAGACGCUAACCGAGGCGGGGAGGGUCAAGCCAGCUGGCACGCUGCUGAGCGGGAGGGGCAGAGAGGCGCUGUAGGUCAUGGAGCCCAGGGGCGCCCCCACAGGCCCGCCUGCCAGGCCCAGCGCCGGCGAGCCGGUGCGCAUCUGGUUUAGCGUCGGCCUGCCCGGCUCGCCCGCGCCGAACGGGUUGGUGGGGGACGGAGCGCUGAGACCUGCAGAACGAGAGUGGCUUUGAGUGACCCGGGGUUCAGAGCCCUACACCGGGAGGUCGUGGAAGUUGGGAAGAAGAGUGGGCUCCUCCGGCGGAGGCUAGGCUCUGAAAGCAGGAGCCCCUGGGUUGAGGGACAAGGGCAUAUCUUACCUGUCAGGAAGGGGUUCCGGGUCUUUGCAACCUGGGGUGCCUUGACCAACGAGUCAAGGUUGACCAAGGAGGAAGCUGAGGGACCCAGGAAGGACUCGGGAGUCCGGCAAGCUCGGGCCUCUUUGCUUGGCUGGGUUAGUGCUUCCCCUAGUAUGCCCAGGUCCAGGGCAUCUGGCUCCUUCGUGCCAUUUUGCUUGGAACUGGGGCUGGGGUCUCCAAACAGGUCCAGCUCUGGAAUAGAAAUGCUAGAGCUAAUUGGUGGGGAAAGGGAUUGGCGCCCGACGUGGGAGGAAGAGGACAGAGGCUGCUCGGGGUGGGCCCCUCAUUCCCCAGAGCCUCACCAUCCCCUUGCCCUGCUCACCCACAGGGCUGCUGGGCUUCCCAGAGGGCAGGGCCUGCUCCAGCCCCUCCUUGGUCUCUGUGGAUUCUGGAGGUUUGGCAAAUGGGUCAAAGGUCGAGGCACCACCUCGGAAGAGAGAGAGGAAGAGGAGAUGGGUUGACAAAAAGGGCAGGUGUUGGUCUGACCCCUUUCCAGAGAAGCUGUCCUCCUAACACAAACAGUAUCUGCUGCCCCUUGGCCCUGCCUGGAAGUCCCCCAGCUCCUCACUCACACUCUCUGGCCCUCUUCUUACCAGGUGUGUCGGAGGUCUCCAGGGAGGCUCCCCAAGGGUCAGCCCCAGUGCUGGGGAGUUUGUGGUGGGGAGAGUUCAGGGCCCAGGGGUCUGUGGUGGGGGGCCCAGCAGGCAGCACUGGGGUCCUGCCCCAGGGCUCAGAGGAGGAGAGCAUGGGAGUCAGAUCCCAGGGCUGGCUUCGGGACAGGACGGUUCCUGAGGGGAUCGGAGACCAGGGGUCUGCAGAAGGCCCCCAGGAGGAUCCACUGGCCUCUGUGUUCGGCCUAAAACCUGAAAUGGGAACAGCAUAGACAUGAUCCCAGGCCCACCCUUAUCCCUCGCCCAGGGCCCUUCCCAGUUACCCAGCCCAAGUUGGGAGGCAGAAGAUCCAUGUCACAGAUGGCCUGCAGCCUCAGGACCACCCAGCAGGCUGGAGCCCCUAUUUGACAAGUGACCCCAGGAACUGGGACCUGCAGGUGUGGGCGACUCAGGCCACCUUCCCAGGCGUGCUGAGCAAGUGAGUGCAGCGAGAGAACAUUUUGCUGCGUUUCCUAGGAGCUGGGCCCUUCAGACAUUCUCCAUAGCCCUCACUACGAAAGCCUGUCCCACAGGCGGCGGAGGCUCAAGGUGAUACCUAUUCAUGAUCCCUCACCUCUGCACAGUGCUUUACAGUUUAUAAUGUUUCUUCAUCCACAGAGUACCUGAUUUUCAUAACAACCCUGUGAGGCUCUCUGUCCCGCUGAUGGUGGACCACGGCCCCUGCACCAUUGGCCAUGGGGGAGCCAUCACCCUGCCAGGACCUCACCUCCUGCAGAAGGCACAGAAAGAGUUAGGAGCAUGAGCAGCUCAGGCGGGAAUCCGGGGACCUGUGCACCAGAGGCUGGAGUCGAGAGAGUGCAGGGUGGGAGGCAGCUGAGAGGUUAGGAGCAGCAGGGCCACCGGGUACAGCGGGAGGAGGCUGUUAGUGCCCUGAAGCACCUCCACCAGCAGCAGCAGCAGCACCGGCAGCCCAGCGGGCUCGGCCCACUACCUUCUCGUGCUCCUGCCGGCUCAGGCGCAGAGCCAGCUGCAGCUGCAGGUCCUCGUCCCUGUGGGAGGCUGGGGGGACAGGCUGCGGAGGAAGAGAGGGGUAAACUUGGCCCUGUACCCCCACCUUGGGACCAGAAGGGCAGUAUAGGCCUGCCUGGGUCAUGGGGAUGGAGACACUAAUGCCCACCCUCAGUGUGCAUGGGCCAUUUGCCGCUCAGUCAGCAGGGUGGGCGUGGCCUUCUCCCUGCCUGCAUCUGAAAUGCAGUUUAAAGGUCAGGAAGACUGAUCUUUCGCUUCUGAAUCCUCUGAGAGUUCCUCAGGCCCUCCUGUGUGAGGCCCAGCUGCUUCCUGCCUGGUCUUCCUGGAUCCACAGAGGUAAUGGCAAAGAUGAUGAUAUCGGGGGCCUGUCCUUGUCUCCCCAAAAGGAUAGCUGGUGGGCGGGGGUGGGAAGCAUAUCCCAGUGUCUCCUAGGAAUAUGUCUGAGCACACUCACCCACUCCACCAUGAGGUGGUAGCAGGCACCCCAAGACAUAGCAUGUGCCCCUAAUUGUACACUCGCCACCCUUUCCAGGCCCAGUGGAGAGGACUGGAGGCAGGGAGGCAGUCCCUGCCUGCGACAAACCGACAGAGAUAAUGGGUCUUGUGCUGUCCUUGGGCACAGGACUGGGGCUUUGGGUGACAGAGCCUGAGUCAAGGCCAAGGGGCUCCCAGGCACUCUCUCCCCCUAGCCCAUCCCCUCCCCACCGCAGUGGGGCUGCAUGGCCUCACCUUCUCUGCCUCCUCACGGCUCAUGGCGAGGGCCAGCUGCAGCUGCAGUUCCUCUUCCCCUGACGUCUGAGGCCGGGCCUGCUCCAGGUCGGAGGUAUAGCGGGGUGACGAAGAGGAGGCUGCAAUGACCAUCAUGUCUCUGUGACCACACGAUUACCCAUCGGCUCCCACACCCCUCUGCCUGCCAGGAAGCUGAGGCUCAAGAGAACUGAGAGGAGGGGAACAACGGCCGUUGAGGCCCCCGUGGGCCAAGCAGUGUGCCAGGCACUCUGUAAGUUCCCCAUCCCAACCCAUCCCGGAUGGAGGGGCGGCUCCAGUCCCUCCUUAGCAGAUGCACAGGCGGCACUUAGGGCCCCUGACCAGGUUCCUGAAGCAGGACUUGAACCCAGGUGCCCUGACUCCAGCUCUUGGACUUCCAGAUGGACCCUGUCCUGGCUUGGGGGCAAGGGAGGUGCAAGGAUAGGAGGUUCUAGUCCAACGAGGUCACAACCUCAAAGCCCUCAGCAAACUGUCAAGGGCUUUAUGGAAGGCGGGCCAUUCUGAGUAUUCCUCAGAUCCUGGAAGCCCCCAUGACUGGGGGCAGGAGAGUCAGGGACUGUCUAGCCGCUGCCCUCAGGUAGGGGGAUGAAGGGGAAUGCCAUGUGUCUGGGUGCAGGGUAGAGGACGUUCCUGAACCUGGUCUCAUUUCAUUCUCAGAUCAAACAAUGGAGGUAGGUGAGCUUAUCCCCACUGUACAGAUGAGGAAACUGAGGUUCAGAGAACUGGUUGCCCAGGUCACACAGCUUGGAGGAAGCAGAAUAUAGAAUGCUAUCUGACUCCAAACCCAUGCUUCCACUAUCGCGCCAUCCUAUCAGGCAGCUAACGAAUGAUAAUGAAUCUAUAACAACGUUAUUAUCUGAGCUAACUUGUUGAGCACCUCCUAUGUGCCGGGUGUUGCGCCUUGCGUGUUACAUUCCUUAUGUCUGAAUCUUCAUAACACCCCUCGGAGGUAGGUAUUAUGAACCAUGGCUUGGAUUGCAGAGCCAGGAAUGGAAGUCGGGCCACCUCCCCAUCCCAGCCACACACCGGGGCUUACUCACAGUUGUAGGAGGACGGGGAGCCCCGGGAGCGGCUGUAGUCCUCGCCGUAGCGGCGGCUGAAGCCCAGCUGCCCACUGCCAAUGCCGAUGCCCUCCAGUGCCAUGCGCUCCUUGGUCUUGAGGGCGUGGGUUCGCUCCUGCCGCAGCCGCUCCUCAUCCUUGAGCAGGGCCAUCACCUGCUUGACCUUCUCGCGCACGUUGACGCCCUGGUCCUUGCCGUCGCGGUCGAUGUACUGGAAGUCCUUGAGUGUCUGGAUGGUGUAGAGGUUCUCGCGGCACUGGUGGGCCACCCGCUCGGAGCCCGUCUUGAGCAGGUAGUCCAGCAAUGUUAGAGCCUUGUACACGUGCCGCCAGUUCUUGCCGCUGUCAUUGAGCCGCCGCCACAGCAUGCCCAUGACUUCGGUGAAGGCCACUGUGUUGAAGGUCAGGUCAGCGAUCUCGGACAUGAGCGAACUAGGGGGGCCCCAGGGGUCAUUGCUGGUGGCCUCGCGCACCUUGAUUUCUGCCUCGGAGUAGUUGUGCACGAUGUUCUUCACCUGGCGCCGGAGUGCGGAGGUCGUCAUGGCUGGAGACUUGGAGGUGGGUGGCCCUCGCCCCCGCCGGAGGUGGAGGGCUGAGGGCCACUGUGGCGAGGUCACAGUCUUGAAGGAUGGGCUGCCGUGUUAGCAGAGCAGCUGCAUCCUUGGGUUCCACAUGGGGCUGAGGAAGAGAGGGCCAGGAACUCAGGGGCAGAGGCCUACCUCAUGGGUCACUCAGCCACUGACCAACUAAAUGAGGCCUGGCCAGAGUGUCCCUGCCUCCAGGGACAGCCUUCAGCGGCACACGUUCUUAUUUCACUUACAAUUCAGCAGGCACUUGGAGCUUUGCAUGCUCAUCUAUCUAUCUUCACAGCCACACCCCAAAGAUGCUAUUAUCAUUACCUCCAUCCACAGAUGGGAAAGGUGGGGCUCAGAGUAUUAAAUGGGCCCGGUGCAGUGGCUCACGCCUGUAAUUCCAGGACUUCAGGAGGCCAAGGCAAGAGGAUCACUUGAGGCCAGUAGUUGGAGGCUGCAGUGAGCCAUGGUCAGGCCACUGGGCAACAGAGCGAGACCCUGUAAUAUUAAGUGACUUGUCCGAGAUCACAGAGCUGCUGCAUGGGGAACCAAGAUGACCCCAGGAAGCCCCACCUAAGAGUGCAUGGCCUCAUGGGGGAACGCUAACAGGAUUCCAGGAAUGCCCGCUUGCCUUGCUUCUGCUCGGCCACUGCCUCUGUUUCUGCUGAGAUCUAGCUUAAGACCUAUCCUUCCUAGCUCCUCAGCUCACUUUUCUCAUAUUGUUAAUUUUUGUAGUUUGAUGCAUUCAACACCUAUUUCCCGGAGGCCUUUUCUGAGCCAGGCACCAUGCCAGGCACAGAACACACGCCUUGGUCCACCCACGUUCAGUUGAGAGGGUACAGAAAAUCACAGUCCAGUGUGGGAGUGCAGAGCCGCACAGGAAGACCCAAGCCAGGAAAAUCAGGGGAGACUUCCUAGAGGAGGUGGUGACAGAGCUGAGAUCCAAGAUCACAAGGGAAGAGUAAGGAGGAGUGAACCAGCAAGUCAGGGGAGGGCGGCUCAGAAGAAAUGCUAUGACCUGGGCCAGAAGGCAAGAGAGCAAGUAUCGUUUGAGGAAGACUGCCCCUCAGAGUUCUGGCCACUGCCAACACUCCUGCAUGCCACCCCCACGUACACAUGGAAGUGUUGAGGCCAGAGAGGGGAUGGGACCUGCCUGCAUCAUAUGGCACGUAAGUGGCAGAGCCUGGACUACCAUCCAGGACUCCAGAAGACUAAUCCAAUUCUUAUUGUCAGUGUUACCCAGUUUGGUCAUUAUUUCAUCGGAUUGCUUUACUGUCUCAGUCCCACCUUCUCAGCUAGAAUGGAAGCUCCCUGAGAGUAGGAACAGUCUGGGUUCUCCAAAGCCCCAAAACGCUGGACACAUAGUGGACCUCUGGUACCCCAGCAGGGAGAAGAGCUGGGCCAGCCCAAUUCCCCCCAGUAGCCACAGGUCCAGGCUAUCUGCUGAAUACAACUCCAGGCCCAAGGUCCUCCCAAAGGCCCUUUCAGAAACCAAAAGAGGAAUUCCCUGACCACCACCAUUCCUCCCACACUAGCACUGGUGUGUGCAUGCACACACACACUGUCUGGGCCUGCAGAGCCUCCACUUCACCCGUGAACUGUCCCCCACCCACCAAACACCUUUCGGCUCCACCCUCCAUCCCAGCCCGUGCCCCAACUGGUCCCCAGGCUGCCAGAAGCAGGAAUCUGAAGGAGACUGUCCUCUCGCACCCGAUUCCACGCUCCUUCCACCCCAGCCCCGCCAGUGCUGGGCUCAGUUCAAAGCAGCCCCACGCUUUGAAAACAUGCCUUGGCAGGUUUUGUUGGGGGCCCAGAGAAUAAGAUACCGUGGGAGUGGGCGAGGUGGAGAGUGCCUGGCCCACAGCGCAGCCUACCUUUUGUCUGCUAUCUCUUUCCUUCCAGCGGGUCGUGGGCCUUCUGUGGGAAUGCCACGGCCACAACUUGUUUAACUCCUGCCCUCCCCCUUGCUAGUGACUCAGACCUGCCUUCACCUCCCCAACCCGUGGCUGGGGGUGGCAGAGUCAAGAUGGGAAAUAAUGUGCACCAAAGCCCGCCCAGCACACGCCCCUACCGGCUGGCCGCUGGAACUAGCAGAACCAGUCGGGCACUGUGACUGCACCAGAGCCCUACCUGGACCUGGCUGCCCUGGCCCUCCGGCCUGGCCUGUGUGGGGGCACCAGCCUCUGGGAGGGGACUCUCGGUGUGGGCCCAGCGGCCCUGCCUGGACCUUUCUCACAGAAGGUGGGCAUUCUCUGCACACCCCUGCAGGGGCUGGGGGGAAGGGCGGGGCCAGAAACAUGGGGAGGCACCUUGAUUUUCCUUCUCUGGAGUUUGAGGGGACAAGGUGAGGCUGCCCAAGCACAGAGAAGGGAGGAGGAAAGGAAGAAGCCUGCCCAAGCGCAGAGAAGGGAGGAGGAAAGGAAGAAGCCUGCCCAAGCGCAGAGAAGGGAGGAGGAAAGGAAGGAACGCGGGAACGCGGGAGGGAGCAGCUGGGAGCGCUGCCAGCAGUGUUACAAGCAAAGGGUUUUAUCGAACACGAUAUGCCCAGAAAUAAAAGGGAGUGUAACAGAAACCCAGCGGCCGAUAAGGCGGUGGCGGUAGCAGCAGCAGCCCUGGGCAGCUGGGUAUGGAAUUACUGCAGUGACCUUGAGCCAGACCCUGUCAGGUGGAGGGAAGGGCACAGAGAGGGCAGGGCCUGAGAAUUCAGAGAUGACGAGAGGGCAGAGGAGGGAGGAAGCUGAGGGGAUGGGAGCAGGGCCAGCAGGCGGUGGGAUGGGCCACGGGGCACGGAGUAUCAGCUCUCUCCUGCAUACAGGGUCCCAAGGAGAACUGCGCAGUAGGGAGGGGCUGCUCUUCUCAGGGCCUGCAGGAUGGGGGGAUCUGGAGAGUUUCCCAAAAGUCAGGACCGAAAAAUGCAGAUCGCUCAUCCCCAGCAAGGGUUUCGGAGAGAUGGAGAGAACCCAGAUCUGUCCAGUCACACGUGCAUGAGUUUGCGUAAAGUCUGUGCACCCACCAGCCCAGCCCACACCCUCUUCCCGUCCUCUGCUAAGGUGGGCUCCAGCCCCUGCCUCCAAGUCAGAUCCAGCCUGAGCAGUGGGGAAUGACAGUGCCCUUCUUGAUGCUGUAAGGGACAGGGGGUGAGCUUGAACUCUAAGCUUCUGGCCACUGUAAUAGCUGCAUCCCGGGAGCACAGAAGAUGGGGGAGGGGGGACUGCCCUGAGGCUAGAGGUGUGCAUGAGGGGCUGAAGAAGAGGAAACAGCAGAGAUGUGCAGAAGGAGUCUGUGGGGAAUGCCACCAAAGAUGCUAAGAUGCCACCAAAGAUGCUAAGUCCCAGGAUGGUUGGGGAGGGGGCCCUGAGUCCCUUUUUGGGGGCGGCAGGGAGGGAGGGGUGGCAGGAAAGAAGCCUUUAGGUCCUCUACAGCUCAGCCUUCUCCCUCGCACCUGGAAAAGAGACUAAGCCCCAGAACCACUGUUUGCUCCCCACCAACCCCCGCCUUCCAUGCCGCCACUGCCAGGGAGGGGGCCAGGGAGGAAGCUUACCUCCAGUGCGGGCUCCCUCGGCCCCAGCCCCAGCCCGAGUAGCCUCUGCGGUGACCCUCCGACCUGUGCAGCAGCGGGACGGCACAGCCUCGGGAGCGUCUCCAGAGCCAUCCACCAUGGACCCUCGUCCCAGAGACCCACCUGCUCCCAGGAGGUGCAGACCCCUCAGAGGGGCAGCGGCAGGGUCCCUGGAAUGGGUAGCAGCUCUUCCCGCGUGCGUUUGCCUCCUAGCCAGCGCCAGGCAGCACUCCGAGGAAAGUUGCUCAGCUGGCCCGGCAGGUCUGCCUCAGCAGUAACAGGACACAGGAGGAAGUGCAGGGCAGGUUAACCCCUUCCUGCUGGCCAGGCAAGUGGUGCAUUGAGAGGUGGGGGGCCUGCCUGUUGGCCGCCCCCAGGAAGUGCACAUCUGGAGCCAGUGCUGGCGACCUGAUCCCCUCUGCUUUGAGUUAACCCUUCCCCUGCCUCUUCAACAGGAAAGGAGGGGGGCUCCAACACCCCCACCACACCCCUCCCCUUCCUCCUCUGGGCCGGGAGGACAUUAAAGGAGAGGGCAGGGACAUUCCCUGGGGCUGGCUCUUUGGUGGAGCCCCCGUCUUCUCGUCUUCUUGGGGAGGAGAGCAUCAGGACUCCAGCACAGCCCCCUCCCUGCCUUUCCCACACGGAGUCAGAUCCUUCUGUCCAUCCUCCCCCUCCUGCAUCUCAGCUGGAGGAUGCCUGAGGCCCACUUAAGGAUGCCCACCCACCCAAAAACCAAAGUUGUUCUUCAAACUCUGGGAGCCUGGAGUGCUCUUCACACAGGGAGCCCAGCCCCAAAUGGUUAUGACUGACAGAAGACAAUGAGGGGCCUGAGUUUGAGCUGACAAUACCUUUUUUUCUGAGAGCCAUUUCUAGCCUGUUUCAUGUUCCCCUGAGCAAGGGAGGUAGCAUGAAGAUCAGCAGCUGUUUUUAAGGCAGAAAGAUGGCUCAAGGCCAGAUAGUUUGAGAUGAGGAGGGGGAUAAGGCAGACUAGACCCCGAAAUAACAAGGUGAUGUGGCCUCUAGAGCUGAAGAGGUGUGGUGAGCAUGAUCUUCAGGGACUGAAUUGGGGCCCUGGGACCCAGCUGAAGAGGGGAGAUGGCAGGGAGCCAGGUCCCAUGGGUCUAGUUCUACUCCUCAUCUCACACUUUGUCAUACUUGGUGAUGACACUUCGGGAAGACCUGGCUCCAGGAAGCACGACCCUGAAAGUGUGGGCCAAGGAAGCCAGAGGCAGGGACUACCAGAGGUGACACACUGUCCUGUCACCUGACUCCUUGUCUUGCUACCAAUCUGCUCCUCUGCUUGGCAUCCCACACAUCACUUCCCCAGCUAUGUCUGUCUGUCCUCCUGCAGGAGGGCUCUGGCAGCUGGCAGGAGGGGAUCUGAGGGCAGGUGGAACAUGGGAGGACCUGGAUCAGGAGCUGACCUAGCCAAGAUCCAUCAUGCAAGACACAGAGGCACACGGAAGUAGUAGAAACUUGAAGGUUCUUUAUUGAUUUAUUUAUUAACCCGUUUUCCAGAAGGUUGCUUGGGCCCGAGAGUCACCUGCAGAGGCGCAAAGCCUCCUCGACAUUCUUUAUGGGGCUGAGCUCAUCAGCCAGGACCAUCAGGUCAGUCACCAGGGUGUCCAGCAGCCCACGGACCUGGAAGAACGGGACAACAUCACAGGCAGAGUUUACUCUGUGGGAAGCACCUAUAUAUGAACUAUGCUGUGAGAGAAUAGCUGGAGAGGGGAAAGAAACCAGUUGUUUGUGAAAGAAUUUCACAAGUUCAAAGUUCUUGUGAAAUAAUUUUUGGUUUUGCAGAUUUUUUUUUUUUUUGACAGGAUCUCACUCUGUCACCCAGGCUGGAGUCCAGUGGUGUGAUCAUGGCUCACUGCAGCCUUGACUUCCCUGGCUCAGGUGAUUCUCCCAUCUCAGCCUCCCAAGUAGCUGGGACUACAGGCGUGCACCACCAGACCUGGCUACUUUUUUCUAUUUUUUGUAGAGAUGGGGUUUCAC
rnacentral:lncRNA from 1 species